rnacentral:rRNA from 1 species
ACGGAGCACCCUUGACGGAGUUUUCGGACAACUGAUAGGAAUGCUUAGUGGCGGACUGGUGAGUAACGCGUGAGGAACCUGCCUUUCAGAGGGGGACAACAGUUGGAAACGACUGCUAAUACCGCAUGAUACAUUUGAGUGGCAUCGCUUGAAUGUCAAAGAUUUUAUCGCUGAAAGAUGGCCUCGCGUCUGAUUAGCUAGUUGGCGGGGUAACGGCCCACCAAGGCGACGAUCAGUAGCCGGACUGAGAGGUUGACCGGCCACAUUGGGACUGAGAUACGGCCCAGACUCCUACGGGAGGCAGCAGUGGGGAAUAUUGGGCAAUGGACGCAAGUCUGACCCAGCAACGCCGCGUGAAGGAAGAAGGCUUUCGGGUUGUAAACUUCUUUUAAGAGGGAACAGAAGAAGAGGGUACCUCUUGAAUAAGCCACGGCUAACUACGUGCCAGCAGCCGCGGUAAUACGUAGGUGGCAAGCGUUGUCCGGAUUUACUGGGUGUAAAGGGCGUG